rnacentral:lncRNA from 1 species
CGCUGUUGUUAGAGAGCUUUAGAAUAGGGGCCCCAAUAGUUUGGGGCCCCAAAGAGCUUUGCGGGUGUUAGCGUUGGGGCACGUAGGAGUGAAGAGUUUUAGAAUAGGGUUUUACGUUUGCGGAUAGCGUCUUGCGCUGACAGCGCCACUACGGCGUCAAAGAAAAGCUAUUAGAAAUAAUUAAAUAAAAUAUACCAUUUUCUGAUAGGAAUAGUAAUUUUGACUUGCGUGUAUUCGCGUUUAAUUACAAUUUAGAGGUUAUUCUGUAAGCAGCAAACAAUUAGUUGCGCUAAGUUUUGAGCUAACCAACUUUACGUGCCUUCACCAGCCAAGCUUAGCCGUGUUAGGCCUAUGAGUCAUAAGAUCCACAAUCGAAUUCGGGAUCAGCGGCGUCUAAUGAAUCAAUCUUCAUAACACACACCAGUUGAGAGAAAGCGAUAACCGCAGUCACUUCUAGCUUGCGAACUUCACGCGUUACCACGAAUCUAACCCAGUUUAGUGCUAGGUUAGAGCCGUCGCUUCGAUGGGUGCCGCCAUGUUUGCUGACGCAAAGCUUUUGGGGCCGCUAUUUGGGCUCCGGCUAAAUCGGUGAAAUAGCGUUCCCAACGCGAAACCCAAACGCAGUUUGCGUCUCGCGCAUGCGCAGUGGCUUCGACGCUAUUUCUUUGGGGCCCCUAUUCUAAAA